rnacentral:rRNA from 1 species
GGGCUUGACAUCCCACGAACCUGAAAAGGGAGCGACCGCAAGGAGCCGUGACAGGUGCUGCAUGGCCGUCGUCAGCUCGUGUCGUGAGAUGUUGGGUUAAGUCCCGCAACGAGCGCAACCCUUGUCUGCUGUUGCCAUCAGGUAAAGCUGGGCACUCUGCGGAGACUGCCGGUGACAAACCGGAGGAAGGUGGGGAUGACGUCAAGUCCGCAUGGCCUUUAUGUCCAGGGCCACACACGUGCUACAAUGGCCGGUACAGAGGGAUGCAAGACCGCGAGGUGGAGCUAAACCCAAAAAGCCGGUCUAAGUUCAGAUUGGAGUCUGCAACUCGACUCCAUGAAGGAGGAAUCGCUAGUAAUCGCGUAUCAGCACGACGCGGUGAAUACGUUCCCGGGCCUUGUACACACCGCCCGUCACACCACGAAAGCCAGCUCUACUCGAAGUCGCUGAG